rnacentral:rRNA from 1 species
AGCUCCAAUAGCGUAUAUUAAAGUUGUUGCAGUUAAAAAGCUCGUAGUUGAAGAUACGAACGCUUACACUAGAACAAAGUUUCCGGUGUCUGCGUUCACUUUUCGCAAAGACAGCCUGGCCCAUUAGUUUGGGUCUUGUUUGAGUUGCGUCAUUUACUGUGAACAAAUUAGGGUGUUUAAAGCAGGCCUACGUUUGAAUACACUAGCAUGGAAUAAUAAGAUAUGAUCUUGGUCGUAUUUUGUUGGUGACUACCAAGAUAAUGAUUGAUAGAAACUGUUGUGGGUAUUCGUAUGAGCAUGUCAGAGGUGAAAUUCUUGGAUUUUGAUCAGACGAACUACUGCGAAAGCAUUUACCAAGGAUGUUUUCA